GACGAACGCUGGCGGCGUGCUUAACACAUGCAAGUCGAACGGAGCGAAUGAAAGCUUGCUUUUAUAAGCUUAGUGGCAAACGGGUGAGUAACACGUAGGCAACCUGCCGACAGGAUGGGGACAACAUUCCGAAAGGAAUGCUAAUACCGAAUGAAGUCGAGGGAGGGCAUCCUCCUCCGAUGAAAGAUGGCCUCUAUUUAUAAGCUAUCACCUGUCGAUGGGCCUGCGUCUGAUUAGCUGGUAGGUGAGGUAACGGCUCACCUAGGCGACGAUCAGUAGCCGGUCUGAGAGGAUGAACGGCCACAUUGGGACUGAGACACGGCCCAGACUCCUACGGGAGGCAGCAGUGGGGAAUCUUCCGCAAUGGGCGCAAGCCUGACGGAGCAACGCCGCGUGAGUGAAGAAGGUCUUCGGAUCGUAAAGCUCUGUUGAUGGGGACGAACGUGCCUAAUGCGAAUAGUUUUAGGCAAUGACG
rnacentral:rRNA from 1 species